rnacentral:rRNA from 1 species
CUGGGAUUAGAUACCCUGUUAUUUAAAUUGUAUUUAAAAAUUACAGAGUAGUAUUAGUUAUGAUCUUAAAACUUAAAAAAUUUGGCGGUAUUUUAAUCUUUUCAGAGGAACUUGUUUUAUAAUUGAUAAUCCUCAUUGUAUCUUACUUAAUUUUGUUUAAUUUGUAUAUCGCCGUCAUAAGAAAAUCUUAAGAAAGAAAUAAUUUUCUAAUUUUUUUUUAAUAGAAUAAAUGUCAGGUCAAGGUGCAGUUUAUGAUUAAGAAAAAAUGAGUUACAAUAAAUAUAAUUUAUAAAUAUUUAUACAGUUUAAGUUUUGUAAUAAAUUUAAUAAGGUGGAUUUGAUAGUAAAAUAAUUAAUAAAAAUUAUUUGAUUAUAGUUCUAAAAUAUGUACAAAUCGCCCGUCACUCUCUGA